UUACGGCCACGUCAUGUUGAAACUCUGGUUCCCAUAUGAUCACCAAAGUUAAACAACAUCAAGCCUGGUCAGUACCUAGAUGGGUGACCACUUGGGAAUACUAGGU
rnacentral:rRNA from 1 species